rnacentral:rRNA from 1 species
CGCGACCUCAGGUCAGGCGGGC